rnacentral:rRNA from 1 species
UAACCUGCCUGGUAGCGGGGGAUAACUAUUGGAAACGAUAGCUAAUACCGCAUAAUAGUAGAUGUUGCAUGACAUUUACUUAAAAGGUAGCAAUUGCAUCACUACCAGAUGGACCUGCGUUGUAUUAGCUAGUUGGUGGGGUAACGGCUCACCAAGGCGACGAUACAUAGCCGACCUGAGAGGGUGAUCGGCCACACUGGGACUGAGACACGGCCCAG